rnacentral:sRNA from 1 species
AGUGGGAGACUAAGAGGGUUCCCAGCACUCUCCACAUUCUGCUUUUUUCCUCUGUCCCCAUCCACUUAACCUGGUUGGUGUUUAUGAUGGCAGCCGAGCCUCAGCCUAGGAGCCCAGUGAGGAGCCGGGGCGUCUUCCUGGGGCAGCGGGUUUGUGGGCCCAUGUUCCUAACCCUCUUCCCCACUCAGGAAGAAGCUUCAGCUGCUGAUGUUGGGCCCUUUCCAAUACGCCUUCUUGAAGAUAACGCUGACCCUGGUGGGCCUGUUUCUCAUCCCCGACGGCAUCUAUGACCCAGCAGACAUUUCUGAGGGGAGCACAGCUCUAUGGAUCAACACUUUCCUCGGCGUGUCCACACUGCUGGCUCUCUGGACCCUGGGCAUCAUUUCCCGUCAAGCCAGGCUACACCUGGGUGAGCAGAACAUGGGAGCCAAAUUUGCUCUGUUCCAGGU